GGCCCGCGGGCGCAAUGAAAGUGAAGGACGUUUCGGACGUCCGAGUCGGGAUGGCGGCGCGAGUCGCCCGCACCGACGGCCCGUUCGAGCCGGCUCCGGCUGGACGGAGCUAGAGCGCGCGCCCUGGGACCCGAAAGAUGGUGACCUAUGCCCGGGCAGGAUGAAGCCAGAGGAAACUCUGGUGGAGGUCCGUAGCGGUUCUGACGUGCAAAUCGAUCGUCGGACCUGGGUAUAGCGGCGAAAGACUCAUCGAACCAUCUAGUAGCUGGUUCCCUCCGAAGUUUCCCUUAGGAUAGCUGGCGCCCGAUCGUGUACGGUCGCAUCCGGUAAAGCGAAUGAUUAGAGGCCUUGGGGCCGAAACGACCUCAACCUAUUCUCAAACUUUAAAUGGGUGUGAAGUCCGGCUUGCUCGAGUGAAGCCCGGACGACUCUUAGACGGAGGGCGCCAAGUGGGCCAUUUUUGGUAAGCAGAACUGGCGAUGCGGGAUGAACCGAACGCCGGGUUACGGCGCCCGAUGCGAGACGCUCAGCAGAACCCAUGAAAGGUGUUGGUUGCUAUAGACAGCAGGACGGUGGCCAUGGAAGUCGGAAUCCGCUAAGGAGUGUGUAACAACUCACCUGCCGAAGCAACUAGCCCUGACAAUGGAUGGCGCUCCAGCGUCGAGCCUAUACCCGGCCCCUUCCCUAUAUACUAUUAUUUAAAGGGGAGGGAGUAGGAGGGCGCGGGGGCGGCGUCGAACGGCAGAGUGCGAACUAGUCCGGAGCCGCCCUCGGUGCAGAUCUUGGUGGUAGUAGCAAAUAUUCGAGCGAGAGCCUCGAAGACUGGCGUGGAGAAGGGUUCCAUGUGAACAGCAGUUGAACAUGGGUCAGUCGAUCCUAAGGCACAGGAGAAAUCCGUUAUAAAGGCUGACCUUUCACUAUUUUGAAAAGAGUCAGCCUUAGGCCGAAAGGGAAUCGGGUUAAGAUUCCCGAACCUGGACGCGGAGUUGACCCGUCUCCCCGAACCGAAAGGCUAGGGGGGCGGGUCGAGGCGGCAACGCAAGCGAACUCGGAAACGUCGCCGGGAGCCCUGGGGAGAGUUUUCUUUUCUCGUUAAGGGUCCUGCUCCCUGGAAUCGGUUCGCCCGGAGAUAGGGAUGCCCGGCCCCAAGAGCACCACGUUUCACGCGGUGUCCGGUGCGCUCUCGGCGGCCCUUGAAAAUCCGAGGGAGCGGUCUUUGCUCGCGCGCCAGCUCGUACCCAUAUCCGCAGCAGGUCUCCAAGGCGAGCAGCCUCUAGUCGAUAGAACAAUGUAGGUAAGGGAAGUCGGCAAAACUGAUCCGUAACUUCGGGAGAAGGAUUGGCUCUGAGGGCCGGGCCCGUCGGGCUCCCGCGCGAAGCGGCGGCUGUUGCCGAUGGGGCUGGGAAUCUCAGCCUCCGCGCUGAAAGACCCGGACCCGACGGAAACUCCGUCGUGGAGGGCUCGAGCUGCGACCGCGCCGGACCUCGCGUCCUCCGCGGUCUUCGGCGGGCGACUAACGGCCGACUCAGAACUGGCACGGACCCGGGGAAUCCGACUGUCUAAUUAAAACAAAGCAUUGCGAUGGCGGUCGGGCCGUGUUGACGCAAUGUGAUUUCUGCCCAGUGCUCUGAAUGUUAAAGUGAAGAAAUUCAACCAAGCUUGGGUUAACGGCAGGGGUAACUAUGACCCUUUUAAGGUAGCCAAAUGCCUCGUCAUUUAAUUAGUGACGCGCAUGAAUGGAUUAAUGAGAUUCUCGCUGUCCCUAUCUGCUAUCUAGCGAAACCACAGCCAAGGGAACGGGCUUGGAAAAUGUCAGCGGGGAAAGAAGACCCUGUAGAGCUUGACUCUAGUCUGAAUUUGUGAAGGAACAUGAGAGGUGUAGCAUAGGUGGGAGCUCCGGCGCCGUUGAAAUACCACUACUUUCAUCGUUUCUUUACUGACUCGGUGAUGCGGGACCCGGCCUCGCGGCCCGUCGUCUGGAGCUAAGCGCGCUUCUCGAAGCGCGCGACCCGAUCCGAGGAAAUUUUCAGCAAGGGAGUUUAGCUGGGGCGGUAUAUCUGUAAAAAGGUAACGCAGGUGUCCUAAGGCCAGCUCAGCGAGGACGGAAACCUCGCGUAGAGCGAAAGGGCAAAAGCUGGCUUGAUCUUGACUUUCAGUACGAGUACAGACCGUGAAAGCGUGGCCUAUCGAUCCUUUUGUACGAUUCGGAGUUUGAAGCAAGAGGUGUCAGAAAAGUUACCUAAGGGAUAACUGGCUUGUGGUAGCUAAGCGUUCAUAGCGACGUUACCGUUUGAUCCUUCGAUGUCGGUUCUUCCUGUCAUUGCGAAGCAGCGUUCGCCAAGCGUUGGAUUGUUCACCCACCAACAGGUAACGUGAGCUGGGUUUAGACCGUCGUUAGACAGGUUAGUUUUAACCUACUGCCGAGGUUUGUCGCCGUAGUAUUCCUGCUCAGUACGAGAGGAACGGCAGGUACGGAAAAUUGGCACAUGCGCUUGGCCGAACGGC
rnacentral:rRNA from 1 species